rnacentral:misc_RNA from 1 species
GAAAUGCGAUAAGUAAUGUGAAUUGCAGAAUUCAGUGAAUCAUCGAAUCUUUGAACGCACCUUGCGCUCCUUGGUAUUCCUUGGAGCAUGCCUGUUUGAGUAUCAUGAAAUCUUCAAAGUAAAUCUUUUGUUAACUCAAUUGGUUUCUACUUUGGUAUUGGAGGUCUUUGCAGCUUCACACCUGCUCCUCUUUGUUCAUUAGCUGGAUCUCAGUGUUAUGCUUGGUUCCACUCGGCGUGAUAAGUUAUCUAUCGCUGAGGACACUGUAAAAGGUGGCCAAGGUAAAUGCAGAUGAACCGCUUCUAAUAGUCCAUUGACUUGGACAAUACUUUUAUGAUCUGAUCUCAAAUCAGGUAGGACUACCCGCGGAACUUAA